AUUGAACGCUGGCGGCAUGCUUUACACAUGCAAGUCGAACGGUAACAGGCCGCAAGGUGCUGACGAGUGGCGCACGGGUGAGUAAUGCAUCGGAACGUGCCCAGUCGUGGGGGUUAACUACUCGAAAGAUUGCCUAAUACCCCAUACGAUCUAUGAAUGAAAGCGGGGGACCGUAAGGCCUCGCGCGAUUGGACCGGCCGAUGUCAGAUUAGGUAGUUGGUGGGGUAAAGGCUCACCAAGCCAACGAUCUGUAGCUGGUCUGAGAGGACAACCAGCCACACUGGGACUGAGACACGGCCCAGACUCCUACGGGAGGCAGCAGUGGGGAAUUUUGGACAAUGGGCGCAAGCCCGAUCCAGCAAUGCCGCGUGCAGGAAGAAGGCCUUCGGGUUGUAAACUGCUUUUGUACGGAACGAAACGGCUCUGGUUAAUACCCGGGGCUAAUGACGGUACCGUAAGAAUAAGCACCGGCUAACUACGUG
rnacentral:rRNA from 1 species